rnacentral:rRNA from 1 species
UACGUAGGCAGCGAGCGUUGUUCGGAAUUACUGGGCGUAAAGAGUGUGUAGGCGGUGCUCUAAGUUCGGUGUGAAAUCUCCUGGCUCAACUGGGAGGGUGCGCCGAAACUGGAGUGCUUGAGCGUGGGAGAGGAAAGCGGAAUUCCUGGUGUAGCGGUGAAAUGCGUAGAUAUCAGGAGGAACACCUGUGGUGUAGACGGCUUUCUGGACCAUGGCUGACGCUGAGACACGAAAGCGUGGGUAGCAAACAGG